AACGUAGGAGACAAACGUUAUCCGGAGUUACUGGGCGUAAAGGGCGUGCAGGUGGUCUGUUAAGUCUGGCGUGAAAGCUCUCGGCUAAACCGGGAGAGGUCGUUGGAUACUGGCGGACUAGAGGACGGUAGAGGCGUGUGGAAUUCCGGGUGUAGUGGUGAAAUGCGUAGAGAUCAGGAAGAACACCGGUGGCGAAGGCGCUCUGCUAGGCCGCAACUGACACUGAGGGACGAAAGCUAGGGGAGCGAAUGGG
rnacentral:rRNA from 1 species